GACGAACGCUGGCGGCGUGCUUAACACAUGCAAGUCGAACGGAAAGGCCCUGCUUUUGUGGGGUGCUCGAGUGGCGAACGGGUGAGUAACACGUGAGUAACCUGCCCUUGACUUUGGGAUAACUUCAGGAAACUGGGGCUAAUACCGGAUAGGAGCUCCUGCUGCAUGGUGGGGGUUGGAAAGUUUCGGCGGUUGGGGAUGGACUCGCGGCUUAUCAGCUUGUUGGUGGGGUAGUGGCUUACCAAGGCUUUGACGGGUAGCCGGCCUGGGAGGGUGACCGGCCACAUUGGGACUGAGAUACGGCCCAGACUCCUACGGGAGGCAGCAGUGGGGAAUAUUGCACAAUGGGCGGAAGCCUGAUGCAGCAACGCCGCGUGCGGGAUGACGGCCUUCGGGUUGUAAACCGCUUUCGCCUGUGACGAAGCGUGAGUGACGGUAAUGGGUAAAGAAGCACCGACUAACUACGUG
rnacentral:rRNA from 1 species